rnacentral:rRNA from 1 species
GAUGAACGCUGGCGGCAUGCCUAACACAUGCAAGUCGAGCGGCAGCGCAGUCUUCGGACGGGCGGCGAGCGGCGGACGGCUGAGUAACGCGUGGGAAUCUACCCCAAAGUGAGGGAUAACGCACCGAAAGGUGUGCUAAUACCGCAUACGGUCUUCGGAUUAAAGUUUUAACGCUCUGGGAAGAGCCCGCGUACUAUUAGAUAGUUGGUGAGGUAAAGGCUCACCAAGUCGACGAUGGUUAACUGGUCUGAGAGGAUGAUCAGUCAGAUUGGAACUGAGACACGGUCCAAACUCCUACGGGAGGCAGCAGUGAGGAAUAUUCCGCAAUGGGGGAAACCCUGACGGAGCAAUGCCGCGUGCAGGAUGAAGGCCCUCGGGUCGUAAACUGCUUUUAUAUGAGAAGAAUAUGACGGUAACAUAUGAAUAAGGGACGGCUAACUACGUG